UGCGGCGUAUUUUGUCUGUAAAAUCAAGCUCCCAUAAGAAACCCAUAGUAGAAUUUUUGAAUUAUGAACUGCCGCGCAUUCUAAAUUCUAACCUUACUUUACUGGUCAAUUUUAUUCAUCAUUUUUAUAAAACUUACUUAAAUUUGUGUUUCACCUACAGAUGCGCUUGCUCUGCUGGAACGCGUUUGCGCAGUGUGCAACAUAUAUGGUUCAAAAAGUAUUUUGUGUAAGUUCAUGGUGUUUAUCCUAUUGUGAAUUGUGAUUGUCGGUACUGCGAUAAAUUCAGAAUACUGUAGUAGAUACCGUUUUGUCAAGAAAACAGUACUAAACCUACAUAACCUCACUUCUACAUGCAAUGCAGAAAAUGCAAUUUCUCAACACAGACAAAAUGAUGAAUGUCCGGGCGCAACCAAAAAAAAAAAAGAAGAAAUCGAGUUAGAAAUUGCGGGAGAUACGCAGAAAUUGGAUGAUUGGAAGAGAAGACGUAAAAAAAACAUGUAUGCAAUUUUGAAGAAAUUAUUAAUAAUGAACCAAAUUGCUUUCAAGUUUUCAGGGCAAGGAAAAAAAUAAGCUCUCUUUUAGUGAAGUCACAAUUAACAAGGCUACAGUAUGUAAAGUUAUUGUACCACACGGAAACAUCACAAAAACGCCACAACUACUGAAAUUUAAAAAAUGGUAGGACCUCAUUAAGCGCAGACAAAGGCAAGAAUGAAUUCUCAUCGAAAAAAACAUGAGGUAUGAUUUUUUUAUUUUAAUUAAUUAUAUCGCGUUUCAAUGAAUUGGUUAUAUAGCAAAUAAUUAUUAAAUACAUAUUUCUGUGUAACGAUUGAAAUGUAGCAGAACAUUGUUAUUUCCAUUGACAAUGUAUUUUUAUUUCAUUAUAAGUUGGCAGUGUAUUUUUAUGUUUAAAAAAUUUAUAAUGUGUUUCACAUCAGGUGAUUUUUUAAAUUUAUGCUCUGGUUGCCCAUGAAGCUUAUGUCAGCAGUUUCAGUUUCACUGCUGACAUAAGUGUCAUGGGUAACUACUGCAGAAAUUGAAAAAAAUCACCUGGUACAAAUUUUCAACGAAUUGGUUCUAGGACAAAUAAUUUUUAAAUGUAAAAAUAUUGCCGCAACGUUUCAAAUACACUGU